ACGCACGCUGGCGGCGUGCUUCACACAUGCCAGUCGCACGGAAAGGCCCUGCUUUUGUGGGGUGCUCGAGUGGCGAACGGGUGAGUAACACGUGAGUAACCUGCCCUUGACUUUGGGAUAACUUCAGGAAACUGGGGCUAAUACCGGAUAGGAGCUCCUGCUGCAUGGUGGGGGUUGGAAAGUUUCGGCGGUUGGGGAUGGACUCGCGGCUUAUCAGCUUGUUGGUGGGGUAGUGGCUUACCAAGGCUUUGACGGGUAGCCGGCCUGAGAGGGUGACCGGCCACAUUGGGACUGAGAUACGGCCCAGACUCCUACGGGAGGCAGCAGCGGGGAAUAUUGCACAAUGGGCGGAAGCCUGAUGCAGCAACGCCGCGUGCGGGAUGACGGCCUUCGGGUUGUAAACCGCUUUCGCCUGUGACGAAGCGUGAGUGACGGUAAUGGGUAAAGAAGCACCGGCUAACUACGUG
rnacentral:rRNA from 1 species